GAUGAACGCUGGCGGCGUGCCUAAUACAUGCAAGUCGAGCGAAUGGAUUAAGAGCUUGCUCUUAUGAAGUUAGCGGCGGACGGGUGAGUAACACGUGGGUAACCUGCCCAUAAGACUGGGAUAACUCCGGGAAACCGGGGCUAAUACCGGAUAACAUUUUGAACCGCAUGGUUCGAAAUUGAAAGGCGGCUUCGGCUGUCACUUAUGGAUGGACCCGCGUCGCAGUUAGCUAGUUGGUGAGGUAACGGCUCACCAAGGCAACGAUGCGUAGCCGACUGCAGAGGGUGAUCGGCCAUACAGGGACUGAGACCCGGCCCAGACUCCUACGGGAGGCAGAAGUAGGGAAUCUUCCGCAAUGGACGAAAGUCUGACGGAGCAACGCCGCGUGAGUGAUGAAGGCUUUCGGGUCGUAAAACUCUGUUGUUAGGGAAGAACAAGUGCUAGUUGAAUAAGCUGGCACCUUGACGGUACCUAACCAGAAAGCCACGGCUAACUACGUGCCAGCAGCCGCGGUAA
rnacentral:rRNA from 1 species